rnacentral:misc_RNA from 1 species
GAUGAAGAACGCAGCGAAAUGCGAUACUUGGUGUGAAUUGCAGAAUCCCGUGAACCAUCGAGUCUUUGAACGCAAGUUGCGCCCGAAGCCAUUAGGCCGAGGGCACGCCUGCCUGGGCGUCACACGUCGUUGCCCCCCCAUCUACUCCCUCGGGAUUGCGGGGGGCGGGUGAUGGCCUCCCGUGCGCCUCGUCGCGCGGUUGGCAUAAAUGCCAAGUCCUCGGCGACGCACGCCACGACAAUCGGUGGUUGCGAAACCUCGGUUGCCCGUCGUGUGCGGUCGUCGCGCAUCGAGGGCUCGAAAAAAUUGCCGGGCUCCGGCUCGGCUUUCAACGCGACCCCAGGUCAGGCGGGGUUACCCGCUGAAUUUAAGCAUAUCAAUAAGCGGAGGA